rnacentral:rRNA from 1 species
AGAGUUUGAUCCUGGCUCAGGAUGAACGCUGGCGGCGUGCUUAACACAUGCAAGUCGAACGAUGAUCCCAGCUUGCUGGGGGAUUAGUGGCGAACGGGUGAGUAACACGUGAGUAACCUGCCCUUAACUCUGGGAUAAGCCUGGGAAACUGGGUCUAAUACCGGAUAUGACUCCUCAUCGCAUGGUGGGGGGUGGAAAGCUUUAUUGUGGUUUUGGAUGGACUCGCGGCCUAUCAGCUUGUUGGUCAGGUAAUGGCUCACCAAGGCGACGACGGGUAGCCGGCCUGAGAGGGUGACCGGCCACACUGGGACUGAGACACGGCCCAGACUCCUACGGGAGGCAGCAGUGGGGAAUAUUGCACAAUGGGCGAAAGCCUGAUGCAGCGACGCCGCGUGAGGGAUGACGGCCUUCGGGUUGUAAACCUCUUUCAGUAGGGAAGAAGCGAAAGUGACGGUACCUGCAGAAGAAGCGCCGGCUAACUACGUGCCAGCAGCCGCGGUAAUACGUAGGGCGCAAGCGUUAUCCGGAAUUAUUGGGCGUAAAGAGCUCGUAGGCGGUUUGUCGCGUCUGCCGUGAAAGUCCGGGGCUCAACUCCGGAUCUGCGGUGGGUACGGGCAGACUAGAGUGAUGUAGGGGAGACUGGAAUUCCUGGUGUAGCGGUGAAAUGCGCAGAUAUCAGGAGGAACACCGAUGGCGAAGGCAGGUCUCUGGGCAUUAACUGACGCUGAGGAGCGAAAGCAUGGGGAGCGAACAGGAUUAGAUACCCCGGUAGUCC